rnacentral:misc_RNA from 1 species
GGGCUAAUCAAUUAUACUGAAAAAAAGACGAGAACGAGGGGAUAAUGGAGACUUGCAUAAUUGGUCCAGUGACUAACUGUUUGUGGUUGUGAUCUUAGAUUUCGAUUGCAGGUAGACACCUGGAAAAUCAUGGAAAUCUUUCAAGUCACCAAAGAAAGAUUGGGGUUCAUAUCCAAAAGAUUCACAACAAUCUUAGUCAUUUUUUUCAUAGCUUUGCCUGUGUUAUUCAUGGUGUCAAUGAUGUCUAGGAACUCAAAGUUUGAAAGUGCAAUCCUUGGGGUAGAAGUUCAAAAUGCCACAGCAUUAGAUGUGGGUGAGACCAAUUCUUAAUUGCAGCUUAAUUUUCAACUAUUUCUGAUAGUUGUUAUAGAUGAUGCAUUGCAUGCACUUACAUGUUGAUCUUGUUUCAUAGUAAUAAAUCCUUUUUCAUUGAAGAAAAAAUACAGUGGAUUCGCUAUUGUAAAUGCAUAAAUAAUCAUCUCAUAAAAAUAAUAAUCUCAUAACAUCAAUCUGCCGGAAGUGGCAUGUUGUUCUAUAUUUGCUAAUUUGUUGUAUUUUCCUCCAAAUUUACAUACUUAAAGUAUGAUUCCUCUCAGCCUACCAGCAUACCAGAUGACAAACCAGUUAGUGACACUCUGGCUCAUGAAUUUGGAAAAGGAUCAGAUUCAAAAUAUGAGCAUUCUCAACUUGUCAGCACUCCGGAUAGCAAACUGCUUAAUGAAGCUCUGGAUCCUAGACAUGGCAAAGCAUCAGAUCCAGAAUACGAAUCCUCUCAGUCUACCAGCAUACUCAAUGACAAACAGCUUAACGAAACUCUAGCUUCCAGAUCCAGUGAAGGAUCAGUUUCAGAAAAUGAUUCCUCCCAGUCAACCAGCAUUCCCAAUGGCAACUUGCUUAAUGGAACAUUUGCUUCCAGAUUUGGUGAAAGACCAGGUUCAAGAAAUGAUUCCUCUGAAUCUACCAGUGUGGCUAAUGAUAAAGUGCUUGAUGAAUUAAUCCCUCCAGAAUUUGAUGAAAGAUCCUGCCUAAGCAGGUACCAUUCUGUCCUCUAUCGUAAAAUUUCAUCCCAUAAGCCUUCUCCGUUACUCCUGUCAAAACUGCGAAAUUAUGAAAAUCUUCACAAACUCUGUGGGCCUUAUACCAAACCCUACAACAGAACCUUAAAGAGACUGAAAUCUGGCCACGUCCAUAGUAUCACAGAGUGUAAAUACAUUGUCUGGAGACCUGAUAAUGGCUUGGGAAACAGGAUGGUAAGCAUAGCUUCAUCAUUCCUUUAUGCUCUCCUCACUAACAGAGUCCUGCUUCUUGAUCUUGGGACUGACAUGGUUGGUCUCUUUUGCGAGCCAUUUCCAAAUACAUCAUGGUUAUUACCUAUGGACUUUCCUCUUAGGAACCAAUUCCGUAAUUCUGAACUGAGGUAUGGUCAUAGUUUCGGAGGCAUGCUAGAAAAAGACCGCAUAAACAUUUUAAUGAAAUCAACUCCAUCAUAUCUAUAUGUUACUCUUAAAAAACGUGAUUAUGAACUUGAUAAAAGAAUUUUUUACUGUGAUCAAAACCAAGCUCUUCUCGGAAAAGUCCCUUGGUUGAUUCUGUUAUCAGAGCAAUAUUUUGCCCCUUCUUUCUUCUUGAUUCCAUCUUUCAAGAAAGAGGCAACCAAAUUAUUCCCUGAAAAAGAAACUGUUUUCCACCAUUUGGGUCGAUAUCUUUUCAAUCCCUCAAAUCAAGUAUGGAGGCAGCUAAUCACCAGGUUCUAUGAUGCAUAUCUAGCCAAUGCACAUGAAAGGAUUGGCCUCCAAUUAAGAGUAUUCCAUGCUAAUGCUGCGCAAAUUCAAACUGUGAUGGAUCAAUUAUUAGCAUGUACCCUAAAGAAGAAACUUCUACCAGAAGUAGACACAAGAAAUUCUGUUGCUUCCUCUUCUAAGAAUCGGACAGCAUCAAAAGCUAUUUUGGUAACAUCUUUAUAUUCUGAGUUCUACAGGAAUUUAAGUAAUAUGUAUUUGGCGAACCCACCUUUGACUGGGGAAGUCAUUCGGGUUUACCAGCCAAGCCAUGAAGGGUAUCAGCACCGAGGAGAUAAUAAGCACAAUAUGAAGGCAUGGGCUGAAAUAUAUCUCCUGAGUUUGUGUGAUGUGUUGGUGACUAGUGCUUGGUCAACCUUUGGCUAUGUGGCUCAAAGUCUUGGAGGUUUGAAACCAUGGAUUUUGCAUAAGCCAGGGCAUGGAAUAUACCUUCCUUGUAAACGAGCUAUGUCUAUGGAGCCUUGUUUCCAUUAUCCUUUCAGUUAUGAUUGCAAGUCAGAGAACAAACUUGAUGCUGGUAAUCUUGUUCCUUAUAUAAGGCAAUGUGAGGACAGAGAGUUGGGGGUGAAGUUGUUUGAUGAUCAUAAAGAACUGAAGUAGAACUUUCUGUAAGUAGUAUAUCCCAGCUUGAUGGAUUUUAGCCUGCACAGGUUAGUGUAGCUGUAGAGUUUGAAAUUGGAAUUUGCAAUGUACUGUCAUAUUGUGAAUUUGAAGCCUGAUUAGCUCAAACUCUUGACUUGUCAGGGUUGCAGGUACCCAAAAUUUACUAUAUACCUCGAAGACAUUGACAAAGUAGAGCCCAAAAGAUUUUUCUCAUUUUUAUGUAUUGUUAAUGCAUGUUUAAUGAAAUAAUUGUUAUCAAAUGUUAAUAUUCUUUGUUUAUCGUCUUGUAUUGUUCUAUUCAGAUUUUUUGUGUUUAUUUUAUUUUUUCCAAGACUCGUUUAUCCCUUUUCUUUUCUUUCUCUCCCUUUUCUUUUCUUUCUCCGUCUUUUUUUUUUUUUUUUUUUUU